CACGUAGGGUGCGAGCGUUGUCCGGAAUUAUUGGGCGUAAAGAGCUCGUAGGCGGUGUGUCGCGUCGGCCGUGAAAACCUGCAGCUUAACUGUGGGCUUGCGGUCGAUACGGGCAUCACUGGAGUUCGGCAGGGGAGACUGGAAUUCCUGGUGUAGCGGUGAAAUCCGCAGAUAUCAGGAGGAACACCGGUGGCGAAGGCGGGUCUCUGGGCCGUAACUGACGCUGAGGAGCGAAAGCGUGGGGAGCGAACAGG
rnacentral:rRNA from 1 species